rnacentral:lncRNA from 1 species
AAGGUGCUUUGAGAACUGCUGCUGAAAGAUGCGACAAGACUUAAUGCAUUCUUCUUUUCACAGGAUCUACAAGGUCUUAUAGAGCGACUCCAGAAUACCUCAUAGGAUGGAUCUGAAGUCAAUUGCAACCCUGCCUAAGGCUUUGGCUGCACACACCAAUGCCAGCACCGUGAAAAUACCCGCAACAGGCCAAGGGGCCACAAGCUUCUGCCUCCCUCAGGAACAAGAUCUGCUCCACUUAUUAUGCCAGUUUCCUGUGCAGCUGACACAAUACACUGGUUCCUCUGCAUUCUCCAGAAGCAACAAUCUCCCCCGAAACCCCACUUCCUUCAGAGUAUCUAUUUAAGCAUGGAUUUGCUGUAUUUCCAAGACAGACGGUAUCUCCCAGGGCGCACUGUGGCCACGUGACUGCCAUGAUGCACCACUUCCCUGUACGAAUAGAGUGAAAGAGGAGGGCAUGCCGAUAUACUUAUUUUUAACAGGGAAACCAAACUACAAUGAAGAAUACUGGUUUGCAACACCUGCACUACAGUUCCCAGGAGGCAGUGCAGCUAUGUUUAGGAACCAAAAUACUGUUCUUUUUCACUGCCAUUUCAGACUAUUCUAUGUAAAAAAGUCUUCCUAACUGCCCAUUUUCCAAGCAGCUCUAACCAAGCAUCCUCAAUGAGACAAUAUAGGAAAUAAUAGAAGAGGGACCUACUUAAGGGAAAAAGAGACCUAGACGUCCCAUUUUCAGAUGUCGUCAUCUUCUUAUGAGCUUAUUUUCCAUCGUGUGAGGUACUUAACUGAUUCUUCAGAACAACUGGAUGUUAAUAAUGAUCAAUCUACAUUUACUCUGCACGUAACCACAGAGGUUACGAUGCACGGCAUAACUGCAGUGUCCCGAAUGUUUCCUUUUUGUGGCUGGCUGCAGAGACCGUAACCGCCUGCUACUCCUUUCUAGGUGAAGGCUUCCCUCCUUCAGUGUGGGUGGCAGGAGCUUGUGCUUCUGCUGCUGACACUUUUGAUCUUGACUCUCACUGGUGGUUGUAGGCAGCCACAUUUAAUUAUCAUGCAAUCAACAUUGUUUUGUUAUUCUCCUUUCAAAAUGACCCAAAGGUACUUGACAACAGCGCCAUAUCAACCAAACCAAACCAAACCAAACCAGACCUUACCUCUUGGGAAGGAUGGAAGUAGCCUUAAUAUUCUUCAUUCCAAGGAAGAAUUUAUUACAUGCUUCACAUGUUUUCAUGUUCUCUUUCCCUAAAACACUGUAAAGACAUAGAGAAGGCCAGAGGUUAGAUAUGGCAUAAUUGCAAUGGCAGUCCAUCUCUUCCUGACGGAUUAAUUAUUGAUCUAUUUUCCUGAGAAAGAAAA